rnacentral:rRNA from 1 species
GCACAAGGGAGUGAGAUAGGCAAAUCCGUCUCACACAUAUCCUGAGACCUGAUAGUGACCGCGAAUGCGGGAAGCAGGGUGAUCCUAUGCUGCCAAGAAAAUCUUCUAGCGAGGUUCGAGCCGCCCGUACCCCAAACCGACUCAGGUGGUUAGGUAGAGAAUACCAAGGCGAUCGAGUGAAUCGUGGUUAAGGAAUUCGGCAAAAUGCCCCCGUAACUUCGGGAGAAGGGGGGCCCAGACUCUGAAGUCACUUGCUGACUAGGGGAAAGGGCCGCAGAGACCAGGGAGAAGCGACUGUUUACUAAGAACACAGGUCCGUGCGAAGUCGCAAGACGAUGUAUACGGACUGACGCCUGCCCGGUGCUGGAAGGUUAAGAGGACGGGUUAGAUCUUCGGGUCGAAGCUCAGAAUUUAAGCCCCAGUAAACGGCGGUGGUAACUAUAACCAUCCUAAGGUAGCGAAAUUCCUUGUCGGGUAAGUUCCGACCUGCACGAAUGGCGUAACGACUUCUCCACUGUCUCAACCGCGAACUCGGCGAAAUUGCACUACGAGUAAAGAUGCUCGUUACGCGCAGCAGGACGGAAAGACCCCGGGACCUUCACUAUAGCUUGGUAUUGGUGUUCGGGACGGCUUGUGUAGGAUAGGUGGGAGACUUUGAAGCCGGCACGCCAGUGUCGGUGGAGUCAACGUUGAAAUACCACUCUGGUCGUUCUGGAUGUCUAACCUCGGUCCGUGAUCCGGAUCAGGGACAGUGCCUGGUGGGUAGUUUAACUGGGGCGGUUGCCUCCUAAAAGGUAACGGAGGCGCUCAAAGGUUCCCUCAGCCUGGUUGGCAAUCAGGUGUCGAGUGUAAGUGCACAAGGGAGCUUGACUGCGAGAGAGACAUCUCGAGCAGGGACGAAAGUCGGAACUAGUGACCCGGCGGUGGCUUGUGGAAGCGCCGUCGCUCAACGGAUAAAAGGUACCCCGGGGAUAACAGGCUGAUCUUGCCCAAGAGUCCAUAUCGACGGCAUGGUUUGGCACCUCGAUGUCGGCUCGUCGCAUCCUGGGGGUGGAGUCGCUCCCAGGGGUUGGGCUGUUCGCCCAUUAAAGCGGUACGCGAGCUGGGUUUAGAACGUCGUGAGACAGUUCGGUCCCUAUCCGCUGUGCGCGUAGGAAACUUGAGAAAGGCUGACCCUACGAGAGGACCGGGUUGGACGAACCUCUGGUGUGUCAGUUGUUCUGCCAAGAGCACCGCUGAUUAGCUACGUUCGGAAGUGAUAACCGCUGAAAGCAUCUAGCGGGAAGCACGUUUCAAGAUGAGGUUUCCAUGGGGCUUGCCCCGAGAGGCUCCCGGCUAGACUACCGGGUUGAUAGGCCAGACGUGGAAG